GCCUUCGUGGUGUAGUGAUCAGCACAAUCGACACGUAAGCGACAGGUCCGGAGUUCGAUUCCCGGCGAAGGCU
rnacentral:tRNA from 1 species